UACGAAGGGGGGCUAGCGUUGCUCGGAAUCACUGGGCGUAAAGGGUGCGUAGGCGGGUCUUUAAGUCAGAGGUGAAAUCCUGGAGCUCAACUCCAGAACUGCCUUUGAUACUGAGGAUCUUGAGUUCGGGAGAGGUGAUGGAACUGCGAGUGUAGAGGUGAAAUUCGUAGAUAUUCGCAAGAACACCAGUGGCGAAGGCGGCUCACUGGCCCGGUACUGACGCUGAGGUGCGAAAGCGUAGGGAGCAAACAGG
rnacentral:rRNA from 1 species